rnacentral:lncRNA from 1 species
CCCGGCUCCACCGCCUGUCAGCUGUGUGACUUUGGGCAAGUCGCUUAACUUCUCUGUGCCUCAGGUACCUCGCCUGUAAAAUGGGGAUGAAGAAUGUGAGCUAACCUGAUAACCUUGUAUCUACCCCAGAGCUUAGAACAGUGCUUGGCACAAAGUAAGCGCUUAACAAAUACCAUCAUUAUUAUUAAAGCACUAACGGGUCAACUGCACCGCCGAAUAUUCCCAAUCUCUCCUGCAGCCCAACAAACCAUGGUGACCUCUGUUCCAAUCGAACCAGCUGGCUCAGAGGUUAUUCAUUUGGACCAUGAAGAACAGGACUGAGGGAAUUCCUGCGAGCCCCUUGUUCUUCUCACCUCUGCUGCAACAGUCUCCCCAAAAUAGAGCUGCCUGACUUGGCUGGGUCGAUCAAGAGAAUGUGCUGAUGUCAGCAUGCCUGGGGCAGGCUCAGAGGCAGUGCAGCCCGUGGCCAAUGGUUGGAGCGUGAAGGCAAUCCACCCACAGUGAGUGUGCGAGAGUCACUGAGGGUGGGGCAUGGCACGAUUCUCCUCUGACCACACUUGCCCAGUGUAGGCAUGCUGCCAAGCCACUUCCAAGCCACAGUAGCAAAGGGAAGUGGAGAA